GGUCAGUAGGUUGGUCGUGCCACCGGUACGUACUGGUCUCACUGAUUCCUCCUUCCUGAAGAACCGUAAUGCCAUUAAUAUGGUGUUGCGGGGAAACAGGACUGUUACUUUGAAAAAAUUAGAGUGUUUAAAGCAAGCUAACGCUUGAAUACAUUAGCAUGGAAUAAUGAAAUAGGACGAUCGAUCCUAUUUUGUUGGUUUCUAGGAUUGACGUA
rnacentral:rRNA from 1 species